UUCUUAGGGCUAUGAGAAACCUGGAAAUUACGAGGCAAACCACGAAUGAAUUGCUGUUCAGUCAAGUUACACAACUAAUAGAAAGUUAAAUUCCUCUGUGGCCAAACACAACAUCUAGUUUUCAAUCUAUCAAAGAAUAACAAGCCAGGAAGUGAGCACAUUACAGUUGCUAAGGAAAGUGAGAAUCAGGUCAGGACUGACUGUUUUCUUUAAAACCACUUAAUUGAGGAUCAAGGAAAAGGACAGUAACAUUUAUUAGGUACCACGUGUUCUGUGUGCACUAUUGUAUUUAAUUCUCACAGCAACUAUAUGAG